rnacentral:rRNA from 1 species
GACGAACGCUGGCGGCGUGCCUAAUACAUGCAAGUAGAACGCUGAAGAGAGGAGCUUGCUCUUCUUGGAUGAGUUGCGCACGGGUGAGUAACGCGUAGGUAACCUGCCUGGUAGCGGGGGAUAACUAUUGGAAACGAUAGCUAAUACCGCAUAAAAUUGAUUAUUGCAUGAUAAUUAAUUGAAAUAUGCCACUUCAUCACUACCACAUGGACCUGCGUUGUAUUAGCUAGUUGGUGAGGUAACGGCUCACCAACGCGACGAUACAUAGCCGACCUGAGAGGGGGAGCGGCCAAACUGAGACGGAGACCGGGCCCAGACGCCUACGGGAGGCAGCAGGAGGGAAUCGUCGGGAAUGGGGGGAACCCUGACCGAGCUAGGCCGCGUGAGUGAAGAAGGUUGUCGGGUCGUAAAGCUCGGUUGUAGGGGAAGAAAGGGUGUGAGAGUGGAAAGUUCACACUGUGACGGUAUCUGACCAGAAAGGGACGGCUAACUACGUG